UACGUAGGGCGCAAGCGUUAUCCGGAUUUACUGGGUUUAAAGGGUGCGCAGGCGGACCGAAAAGUCGGCGAUGAAAUGUCGGGGCUCAACCCCGGCGCCGUCGCCGAUACUGCCGGCCUUGAAUGGGGUCGAGGCCACCGGAAUGGGCGGUGUAGCGGUGAUAUGCGUAGAGAUCGCCCGGAACGCCAAACGCGAAGGCAGGUGGCCAGGCCCUUAUUGACGCUCAGGCACGAAAGCGUGGGGAGCGAAC
rnacentral:rRNA from 1 species